GACGAACGCUGGCGGCGUGCUUAACACAUGCAAGUCGAGCGGACAGACGCUGCGUUUGUUGCUUUCUCGAUUGCCGAGGGCGUGAGUGUCACGUGUGUAUCCUCCCCUUGUCUUUGUGAUAACUCCUCGGGACUCCGGCUCUUAUCCCGGAUGAUCUCUUGCUCCAUGUUGUUCAUAAGUGAAAUUCGGCGGUUGUGGAUCGUCUCGCGGCUUAUCAGCUUGUUGGUGGGGUAGUGGCUGACCAAGGCUUUGACGGGUAGCCGGCCUGAGAGGGUGACCGGCCACAUUGGGACUGAGAUACGGACCAGAAGCGUACGGGAGGCAGCAGUGGGGAAUAUUGCAGAAUGGGCGGAAGCCUGAUGCAGCAACGCCGCGUGCGGGAUGCCGGGCUUCGGGUUGUAAACCGAUGUCGACUGUGACGAAGCGUGAGUGACGGUAAUGGGUAAAGAAGCACCGGCUAACUACGUG
rnacentral:rRNA from 1 species